rnacentral:rRNA from 1 species
UACGAAGGGGGCUAGCGUUGCUCGGAAUCACUGGGCGUAAAGCGCACGUAGGCGGCUUUCUAAGUCAGGGGUGAAAUCCUGGAGCUCAACUCCAGAACUGCCUUUGAUACUGCAGAGCUGGAGUCCUGGAGAGGAAGGCGGAAUUCUCGGUGUAGAGGUGAAAUUCGUAGAUAUUCGGAAGAACACCAGUGGCGAAGGCGACUUACUGGACACAUAUUGACGCUGAGGUGCGAAAAGCGUGGGGAGCAAACAGGG